rnacentral:rRNA from 1 species
CACUACGGCCUGGCCAGGGGCACGGCCAAGGGCGGCGCGCCGGCCGCACGCGUGGCCUCGUACAAGGUGUGCACCACGGACGCGUCCCCGGGCUCGGCGCUGCUCAAGGCCAUCGACGACGCCGUGAGCGACGGAGUGGACGUGAUCUCCAUCUCCAUCGGCAUGGGUGCUGCCUUCGCGGCGCCCAACCUCCUCUCCGCCCCCGUCGCGCUCGGCGCCUUCCACGCGCACCAGAGGGGCGUCCUCGUCGUCUGCUCCUCCGGCAACGACGGGCCCGACCCCUACACAGUCGCCAACUCCGCGCCGUGGAUCCUCGCCGUCGCCGCCUCCACCAUCGGCCGCGCCUUCCAGUCCAGCAUCGCCCUCGGCAACGGGAAAGUCGUCAAGGGAGUCGGCAUAAACUUCUCAAACCAGAGCCUCGGCGGCGAGCGCUACCCGAUGGUGUUUGGGGCCCAAGCGGCAGCCCGGAACACGACGGUGGCCGAGGCAAGCAACUGCAGUCCGGGAUCGCUGCGCGCGCGCAAGGUGGUCGGGAAGAUCUUGGUGUGCGUCGACACGGACUCUAUGGUGUCGCGGCAGAUAAAGAAGCUCGUCGCGGAGGACGCCGGGGGAGGGCUGGUCUUGAUCGACGCCACGGGCAUGGACGUGCCGUCCGACACCGGCAGCUUCCCCUUGUCCAUGGUGGGCUCCGACUUGGGCGCGCAUGUACUCCACUACAUUAACUCUACCAAGAAUCCGACGGCCGUGAUCCUCCCUACCGAGGACGUCAAGUUUUUCAAGCCUGCGCCCAUGGUGGCGUCCUUCUCGGCGCGCGGCCCUGCUCGUCUCACCGAAUCCAUCCUCAAGCCCGACCUGAUGGCUCCUGGAGUCAGCAUCCUCGCCGCUGCGAUGCCGCCCCGGCAAGAGGCGGACGUCCCCGCCGGCAAGAAGCCCUCGCCGUUUAUCAAGUCCGGCACUUCCAUGGCAUGCCCGCACGUCGCUGGCGCGGGCGCUUUCCUCAAGUCGGCCCACCUGGACUGGUCACCGUCCAUGAUCAGAUCAGCUCUCAUGACCACAGCGACGACGGGAAACAACCUCGGGCAGCCGGUGACGAACAGCAACGGCGCGGCGGCGACCGGACACGACAUGGGCGCCGGCGAGAUCAGCCCGCUUCGGGCGCUCAGCCCGGGCCUGGUGUUCGACACCACGACAAGCGACUACCUCACCUUCCUCUGCUACCACGGCUACAAGGACAAGCUCGUCCGCAAGGUCUCCGGCGACGCCAGAUUCUCCUGCCCCCGCGCGCGGCGCGCGUCCUCGGAGGACCUCAUCGCGGCGAACGUCAACUACCCGUCCAUCUCCGUGCCGCGGCUCGCGGCAGGGAAGCCUGUCGCCGUGUCGCGCACCGCCACGAACGUGGGGCCGUCCAAGUCCAACGUGACGUACGUGGCGUCCGUCGAGGCGCCGCCGGGCCUGUCCGUGAAGGUGUCACCCCAGCAGCUGCUGUUCUCGAGGCGGUGCACGACGGCGGCGUACGAGGUGCGCUUCGCCGGCGCCGGGGCCAGCAAGGGGUACGCGUACGGCGCCAUCACCUGGUCGGAUGGCGCGCACUCGGCCCGGACGCCUUUCGCGGUUAAUGUUGUGUGA